rfam:Entamoeba histolytica HM-1:IMSS scf_1104750517469 genomic scaffold, whole genome shotgun sequence.
GGUUCCAUGGUGUAGUGGCAGCAUAUGAGAUUCUGGUUCUUAGGACCCCAGUUCGAAUCUGGGUGGGACCA